GGUGGAUUAGUGGCGAACGGGUGAGUAACACGUGGGCAAUCUGCCCUUCACUCUGGGACAAGCCCUGGAAACGGGGUCUAAUACCGGAUAAUACUCUGUCCCGCAUGGGACGGGGUUGAAAGCUCCGGCGGUGAAGGAUGAGCCCGCGGCCUAUCAGCUUGUUGGUGGGGUAAUGGCCUACCAAGGCGACGACGGGUAGCCGGCCUGAGAGGGCGACCGGCCACACUGGGACUGAGACACGGCCCAGACUCCUACGGGAGGCAGCAGUGGGGAAUAUUGCACAAUGGGCGAAAGCCUGAUGCAGCGACGCCGCGUGAGGGAUGACGGCCUUCGGGUUGUAAACCUCUUUCAGCAGGGAAGAAGCGAAAGUGACGGUACCUGCAGAAGAAGCGCCGGCUAACUACGUGCCAGCAGCCGCGGUAAUACGUAGGGCGCAAGCGUUGUCCGGAAUUAUUGGGCGUAAAGAGCUCGUAGGCGGCUUGUCACGUCGGAUGUGAAAGCCCGGGGCUUAACCCCGGGUCUGCAUUCGAUACGGGCUAGCUAGAGUGUGGUAGGGGAGAUCGGAAUUCCUGGUGUAGCGGUGAAAUGCGCAGAUAUCAG
rnacentral:rRNA from 1 species